rnacentral:rRNA from 1 species
CGGGGGGCAGCAGUGGGGAAUAUUGGGCAAUGGACGCAAGUCUGACCCAGCGACGCCGCGUGCGGGAUGAAGGCCUUCGGGUUGUAAACCGCUUUCAGCAGGGAAGAAGCGAAAGUGACGGUACCUGCAAAAGAAGCACCGGCUAACUAUGUGCCAGCAGCCGCGGUAAUACAUAGGGUGCAAGCGUUGUCCGGAAUUAUUGGGCGUAAAGAGCUCGUAGGUGGUUAGUUACGUCGGGUGUGAAAAUCUGGGGCUCAACCCCAGACCUGCACUCGAUACGGGCUAGCUAGAGUUUGGUAGGGGAGACUGGAAUUCCUGGUGUAGCGGUGGAAUGCGCAGAUAUCAGGAGGAACACCAAUGGCGAAGGCAGGUCUCUGGGCCAAUACUGACACUGAGGAGCGAAAGCGCGGGGAGCGAACAGGAUUAGAUACCCCCGU